GACAGAGGGUGUAAGCGUUGUUCGGAAUUAUUGGGCGUAAAGGGCGCGUAGGUGGCUACGUAAGUCGAAUGUGAAAGCCCUGGGCUCAACCCAGGAAGUGCAUUUGAUACUGCGUAGCUUGAGUCCCGGAGAGGGUGGUGGAAUUCCCAGUGUAGAGGUGAAAUUCGUAGAUAUUGGGAGGAACACCGGUGGCGAAGGCGACCACCUGGACGGAGAC
rnacentral:rRNA from 1 species